UACGAAGGGGGCUAGCGUUGUUCGGAAUUACUGGGCGUAAAGGGCGCGUAGGCGGCCCGCUAAGUCGAACGUGAAAUCCCCAGGCUCAACCUGGGAACUGCGUCCGAUACUGGCAGGCUUGAAUCCGGGAGAGGGAUGUGGAAUUCCAGGUGUAGCGGUGAAAUGCGUAGAUAUCUGGAGGAACACCGGUGGCGAAGGCGGCAUCCUGGACCGGUAUUGACGCUGAGGCGCGAAAGCUAGGGGAGCAAACGGGG
rnacentral:rRNA from 1 species